AACGAACGCUGGCGGCAUGCCUAACACAUGCAAGUCGAACGAGACCUUCGGGUCUAGGGGCGCACGGGUUCGUAACGCGUGGGAACCUGCCCUUAUGUUCGGAAUAACUCCCCGAAAGGGGUGCUAAUACCGGAUAAUGUCUUCGGACCAAAGAUUUAUUGCCUCUGGAUGGGCCCGCGUUGGAUUAGCUAGUUGGUAGGGUAAAAGCCUACCAAGGCGACGAUCCAUAGCUGGUCUGAGAGGAUGAUCAGCCACACUGGGACUGAGACACGGCCCAGACUCCUACGGGAGGCAGCAGUGGGGAAUAUUGGACAAUGGGCGAAAGCCUGAUCCAGCAAUGCCGCGUGAGUGAUGAAGGCCUUAGGGUUGUAAAGCUCUUUUACCCGGGAUGAUAAUGACAGUACCGGGAGAAUAAGCUCCGGCUAACUCCGUG
rnacentral:rRNA from 1 species